AACCUUUGUGAUUCAUAAUAUGAUGUUUGGGUGUUCACACCAUUAUAUGAGCUAUUCCUCCCUUAAAUCUUGUUAGGCUGUGGUUAUAUUACUGGUCUGUUG